rnacentral:rRNA from 1 species
CACCGGCACCCCAAGUGGUAGCCACUAUUAUUGGGCCUAAAGCAUCCGUAGCCUGUUCUACAAGUUUGCGGUUAAAUCUAUGCGCUCAACGUAUAGGCUGCCGUAAAUACUGCAGAACUAGGGAGUGGGAGAGGUAGACGGUACUCGGUAGGAAGGGGUAAAAUCCUUUGAUCUAUUGAUGACCACCUGUGGCGAAGGCGGUCUACCAGAACACGUUCGACGGUGAGGGAUGAAAGCUGGGGGAGCAAACCGG